rnacentral:lncRNA from 1 species
AAAUGAGCUCUCAGCAUGGUGAAAAGCAUUCGGUUUCUCUAUGCAUACAUUUUUAGUUUAAGGGCACGAACUUUCACGCGUUUCGUGCUUUCUUCGUGGAAGGGAAAUCAAAAAGACGUUGUAUGAGCUUUCGGAUUUUUAUUUUUGAAUUUUGAAUGGUUCAAUAAAUUAAAAUGUUUGAAGUGGAUGGGGGUGAAAUAAAUUAAGAGGGAUGGGGAUGGAUGGGUAGUGAUAAAGUGCACUCUUAGUAGCUGGAGCCAUGAGAGUAGCUGGAACCAUGGGAGUAGCUGGGAGCAGAGUAGCUGGAUCCAUGAGAGUAGCUGGGAGCGGAGUAGCCGUGUUGUUGUUGUGGGUAAAGGUUUACGUUCUGGUAGGAGACGGCGGGUGCAGAAGAUCCGUAUCCGGAUGAUCCAUGUCCGUAUCCGGAAGAACCGUGUCCGUAUGCGGAGGCACCGUAUCCAGAAGAUCCGGAAGAACCGUGUCCGUAUGAGGAAGAACCGUGUCCGUAUGAGGAGGAACCGUAUCCAGAGGAUCCGUGUCCGGAAGAUCCGUAUUCAGCGGCGGCAACAACGACGACGGCGGCGAAGAUGAACCACUGAAAGCAAUAAAAUUUUACAUUUGAAGUAUCGAGUAACAUCGUACAAAGUCAUCACAAAGUUCCGCACCAUCCCUGAAACUCGUAGGCUCUUGCCCCUUUUGGGGAUGAUCCCCUGAAUAUUUGUGUAAGGGGACGGGAGCAAAAGUCGUUUCUUUUGACCGAGGAGCACUUGUUCAAGUCUCUAUCUCAAUUUGCUCAAAAGUUACAGGCGUGAUGCUAGAUGCUGGUGGUGUAGGAUUCAGAGGUUUCGCGCACCAAUGUUAGAUGUAAAGAGCAUUUUGGAAAUUCGCUUUUUAGGGAAAAGGUAAUAUUGAAAGCCUGGGAUCUUGCGGCUUAAAAGAAAAUCUUCCUGUUAAUUGAGGUGAAAAAUGAUAUAAGUGUAUUUUUUUUCAUUAAAUAAAUAAAAAAUAAAAAAAUUGUACAGUUGUUAUACCUACGAAGAUAUUAUUGUUUCAAACAAGUUCUCAUUGAGUUGGAUUUUGAAAAUCUUUGGAAGCAGAUUCAUGAAAUAGAAGCAAAGUCUCAGCUUUUAAAAGAACAAGACCCGAUGUGUAGUAAAGUAUCAAGCUAAAGUUAUGGGUUUCAAAGGUGGCUUUUGAAAAUACGUUUUUAGGAAUCAGUUUGAUGUAAAUAUAUUCUCAAAUAUCUCAGUCUCAAAUAUGAAGCUCAUACACAAUUUUAAUGCGUUGUGGAAAAAUUAUGACUUACUUUGAAGAAGGCCAUUUUGAGUUUGGGUGUUGUUGUUGGUUACACAGGGAACUGUAAGAAUUAACUGUGAGGAGUGAAUGAUGCUGAUUUGUUAGCGGCCAGCUUUUAUAUGUCUCCAACUGCCUAAUCUAAAGCAUAAAAACCAGCACUUAGGAAGGACAUUUUCGCGAAAAGUCUGAAUGAAAAAAGCUCGUGAAAAAAAGAGCAAUAAAAAAACAGCGCAUUACGCUUGAUAAAAAGUUGUCAUGAUUGGAGAUGAUAAUGAGGAUAUUGAUUGAAUUUGUUUGUUAAUUGGUACGUCGGUAAGUGUUUUUCAUCAUGUAUCCGAAUAUGUGUUGGUGAAUUAGCGUACGUUUUCGUAGGAAGAGUUUAACUGGGUGUGUGUUGACAUCGGAUUUGAGGAUGAAGGUCAUUGCAUCCGCGUAAAC